AAAAAACAACGGCGUUGCUAGCGCAAAAUUGCGAUCAUCGCAACUGGAUCGGAUAACACAAAUGUCACGCCUUAUACACGUAUAUGUGAAAACGGCGUAUUGACACGAUCCGAUCCGAAAACAGAAUCAAAUACAUCAACAAAAUAGAUAAAGUAUAUAAACUAUUACCAAACUGUGUGUACGAUAGUAUAGAUCAGCCACUCUCAGUUUCUCUUUUUUGUUCUGUCUUUCGGCCUCCCUCUAUCAGUCAUGCUAGUAAAUAUAUAUAGGAACAAAUUAGGUUAAUGAUAAUGGGCCUAAGUUUAUUUUGAAACCCAAUAUUAAAUUAAAAACUGAAUAAAGUUAAAUAAUUAAAAUAGUUAAAAUUAAAAUAAAAACUAAUUAACCUAUUUAUUUAUUCUAGACCCAAUAUAAAAAUAAAUAGACUCAAAAAAAAAAAAANN
rnacentral:lncRNA from 1 species